GUCCCUAAGUAUUUCAUCUUUUAGCCAUAGUGUUGUGUUGUUGUUCUUUCUUAGAUUUAUGGUUUUUGCCUGUCUUGUUAUUUAUAGCUUAUUUUUCAUAUCAUCAAUUCAAAUCUAGCUAUCAUGUUUGAUACCUUUAUACUAUAAGAAUCAAAAUAUGUGACACGUGUCUACUCUACAAUUGUUUUACAUGUAUAUAUUAUAAGCACAUUUGAAUCAUAUAUGUCAUAUUUUGCACAAAUGAAAAAUGCAUGUGAUUAAGUUAUGGGUACAUUUAUGUAAACAAAAACCCAAUUUCCUCCGCUCCCAUUUCGAUGUUAUAAAACAAAACUC
rnacentral:lncRNA from 1 species